CUGAGCUGGUUGUUAUCAAUGGAGUCAGGCAGUUUAGACUACAGGUGAUUUAGAGAGGAAAGGGAAAAAUUGAAUCAAUGAGGGAGAAGAAACAAUUGCCCAACAAUCAAGAAAUUAUCCUUAAACUUCCAGGCCAGAAGCAACCACUUCUUGCUCUCAACUAAGAACUGAGAGGCAGGCUGGCACAAAUGGAUAUAGUCUAAGAAUUAACAACAAAGAGACUUGUAUUCAAAUCCUGUCUCUGACACUUAAUAGCUUGAUGAUGAUAGGACUCUGUCUGGGAGAAUGAGAAUGUUGCUGCAGGCCACUGUGUAGACUCCCUUGUGAAGAUCUCAAGGAGGCAACAGAGAUGAGGCUGGGAAGGCGUGGAACCAAUGCAAAUUCUGUGACUAAAAAGAAUUUUUAAAGACCCCAAGGGUUUUGAAAUCUAUUUUACAAAGCUGAUUCCCAUUGUGUCCUACCUUGUGCCACCUACUACUGCAAGAGCUCUCUAAAAAAUACAGUCCUUGAAAUGUGAUUUCUAAAAACUUCAUUAUUCUGUGGUAGAUUUUGGAAUUGGAGUCAGCAAACCUGGGAUCUACUCUUGAUUCUAAACUUAAGCAAAUCAUUAUCCCUCUUUGGACCUCAGUUUGCUCUAGUGUAAAAGUAAAAUGAAAGGAUUUGGCUAAGUAUCACUAUGAUUUUUCCCAGCUCCAACAUUCUAUGACUGUGAAUUGAGACCUUAAAUCCUCUCCUCAGUCAUUUCCUCGACAUGCCAAUUAUACUCCAGAUAUCAUGCUCAUCUCUUCCCUCUUCCCCACCAGUUUUAAACCCCAGCCUGAAGGCUACCAAGCUCUGAUGGGUGAACUUAUGAGUAAAGUAAUUCCUCUUACUUUGCCCAUGUCCAAACCUCCAAACCAUUUCAAAGCCAUUCAUUUACCGCACUGCCUAUCAUCUUCAGAUCCUCCUCCUCCUCUACCCCCACAAUAACCCUUUGGUAACCUAACUCUGCCAGCUCCCCUUUCCUUUCCUUUUCUCAUAGUCAGGAUUCUAUAGACGUUUCCUGGCCAUUUCCACACCAUGUCACCUAUGUCUCCUCCUUCGUUCAAGUUCUCCUUUAGCGAUGAUAGUCUUCCAUAAGAAUGUAAGUCCUCUGAGGACAGGGAUCGUCCUGCUCCCUUGUUUUUGUAACUCCAGUGCUGGGCACCUUGCCUGAAGAAGUAGGCACUUAAUAAACAGUGUAUCCACCCACAUAAACCCUAGUUCUGACCUCAUUCUACAUCUUCCUCCUAGUUACACAAAUUCUAGAUUCCAAGAAACAAAACUCCAUUCCUAUCUUGGGCCUGCUGUUCAUUAAGUAACACUACCAGCAGCACUUUAAGAAUGACAUAGUAUCCACGCCUGUGAGGUCCAAAAUGCUGGCAUUAUCUUUGGGUGAAGAAAGUAAUGUUCAUAAAAGCUAAAUUAUUUGCCCAAGGUCACCUCGCUAGCAAAUGUCAGUGAAGAAAUUCGUGUCAGUCUCCACAUUCUAGAAGUUGACAUAAAGAAAACUACAGUGAUACAUGAGACCUAAACACUUUGUAUAUAUUAAUGAUGACUUAUUAUAUCGCCUCAAGAAUGAUAAUUCAUGUUUUGCUCUCGUCUUCAUUAUUAAUGAACUAAAUGACCUUAUUUAAGACAGGCAACAGUGAAUGGCAAGGAGAUAAAUAUUUUACAUUUUGCAUUCAUGGUCUACUCUUCAUGCAGACAAAUUUCACCUUAUAAAUAUCUCAUGUUAUUUAUUCAAUUACUUCAUUACAUACACACUUUCCCACCGGAAUGCAUAUAGGUAGGAUGGCACACAUAGUUCUCUUUGUAUUGUACUUGAAGCUUAGAACACAGAGAAGUCAUUUUAACACACCCUCCUCUGACAGUUUUGCUAGUAUAAUAGUACACAUUGAAGAAAACUCUGUACUGAGAUGGAAACUUUUUUUGGCUAACCCUCCAAAUUUGGGGAACACAAUUGAUUUCAAUUAGCUUUCUACCCUGGUCAUAGGGGACAGAGUGCUGAACAUGAAAUCAGGAAGGGUUCAAAUUCCACCUCUGAUACUUAUUAGUAAUAUGACCACAGCCAGGUCCCUUGACCUAUAUGAUUCUCAAUUUCCUUAUUUGUAAAAUGAGAUUAAUAACAACUAACUCAUAGGGUUCUGGUGAAGAUAAAAUGAAGUAAUGAAUGCAUUUAGCAUCCAAUAAAGCACAAAUUAUUUGUUAUUACCAUCACCAUAAUUAAAAUGUUCAGCUCCUCUCUUCUUUGCAAAUCUAAACAACAAAGGCACUAGCUAGAAAUCUCACAUCACCUUUGCUUUGAAGCAGUAUUUCCCAAACUUAUUUGACCACAGAACAUCCUGACCUUUAAAAUAUACUGACAGAAACAAAAAAUGCUGGGGAUGAAGGAAAAUUUUUGGAAUUAAAGAAUACCAGGGGAAGAAGGACAGGGAAGAGUAGACGUUGUUUAGAGAAAAUAGAGGAACUUUGGUUAAUUUUCAUAAAGGUCUUGUAACAUAAUGUAUAGAAUUAUGAGGCCUAAAUCUACAUCCCAUAAUUACUUUUUUAUUGUUGUUGCUCAAUCAUUCAGUCACAUCCAAUUCUUUGUGACCCUAUUUGGAGUUUUUUUUUGACAAAGAUACUGGAGUAGUUUACCAUUUCCUUUUCCAGCUCAUUUUAUAAAUGAAGAAACUGAGGCAAACAGGAUUAAGUAAUUUGCCCAGGGUCACACAGUUAGUAAGUGUCCGAGAUCAGGUUUUAACUCAGUUCUUCUUGACUCCAGAUCCAGUGCUCUAUCCACUGAAUAAUCCUCUAGCUGCCUCUUACUCAUAUGUUACCAUGGGCAAAUUGCUUAACUUCUCAGCAUCAACCUUCUUACUUGUAAUAGGAGGAUAAUAAUUCUUGCAGAAUCUAUCUCUUAGGGCAGUUGCAAAGUUCAAUUAAGAAAAUAAAGACAAAAUGUUUU